AACGAACGCUGGCGGCAUGCCUAACACAUGCAAGUCGAACCAGACCUUCGGGUCUAGUGGCGCACGGGUGCGUAACGCGUGGGAACCUGCCCUUAGGUUCGGAAUAACUCCCCGAAAGGGGUGCUAAUACCGGAUAAUGUCUUCGGACCAAAGAUUUAUCGCCUUUGGAUGGGCCCGCGUUGGAUUAGCUAGUUGGUAGGGUAAAAGCCUACCAAGGCGACGAUCCAUAGCUGGUCUGAGAGGAUGAUCAGCCACACUGGGACUGAGACACGGCCCAGACUCCUACGGGAGGCAGCAGUGGGGAAUAUUGGACAAUGGGCGAAAGCCUGAUCCAGCAAUGCCGCGUGAGUGAUGAAGGCCUUAGGGUUGUAAAGCUCUUUUACCCGGGAUGAUAAUGACAGUACCGGGAGAAUAAGCUCCGGCUAACUCCGUG
rnacentral:rRNA from 1 species